rnacentral:lncRNA from 1 species
UGUCUUUCCCUGCCUUUUCAACCAGAAGCCAUAUCCUUCUUCUUGGAAGUCAGUGAGUCACUUGCCACCAGCACUGGCAAUGAUGCGAGGGAAUACAAAAUAACAUCAGGCUACGGCCACGUCUCCUCAACUACACCACUUCAUGGCUAAUGGAAAAAAACUAAGCCUUUCUUUCAUGGCAGGAACCAGGACAGUUGUGCACAUUCAAAAAAGGUAUUCAAAGACAAAAAGGGGAGAUAUAGUCCCUGUUUAAAUUUCAGAGGAUAUUUUUUAUUUCCUCUGAGCAGGCCAAAGCUACUGCAGCUAGAAGAGCUCUCUUGCUUAUAGUUCUUCUAUCUGGUUGAGCUAUAGGAAUGAAGGCCUAGAAGGUUUUUCUGAAGUUUCUUGUCUCUGCCAUGGAACACCUGCACUGGCAGCAGAGUGUGGGGUGAGCUGUCAGGCCUUUGUGAUGCAGGGCUGCCUUGUGCCCAGAGACCACAAUGACACGGCGGCCAGCCCCCCUGGCUGUGGGGGGAUUGAAGGAGCCCUGGGCUGCCCAGUGCCAGGAGAGCAGCUCCUGCAGAAGGCAGCAUUUCCCUGGGUGCUUUGGCACAUCUGUGGCACUGAAUGUCAAAGACAGACAUGGAGAAUCUUUUGGAGAACACCAAGUCCCAGACCUUCAAGGGGCUGGUGGGCCACAGGCAGCAAGAUGCAGCACCUCGGGACAGCCAGCACAAGGCCUCAUCCCUCCAUGGGGACAGGAUACCACUCAUUCCCUGCUCACAGGGCUUGCAGGAUGCUGGGAGGCAGCCUCCACAGGGGCUGGAAAGGAGAGGCCGGGCUCGCCCCAGGCGCAGGGCUCCACGGAGGAAUGCCUUCCUGCAGUGGCAGCAGGGCACCCUGGAGGAGAACUCGUGCAGCAGGGAUGUGAGGAGUGGCUUGCAGCCCUGACAUGGUCUCAGCUGGUCUCAGCUGCUUAAUGACACAGACGGUCAGGUGAGGGCUAAGGACAGGAUGGGAUGGCAUGGGACAGGAUGGGAGGAGGGAAUGAGCCUCCUUCUGCCUUGCACCAACCACUGCACCACACCACUGCUGCGCCAUCACCUCCUGCAGCCCUGUCUGUUAUGACCUGGGU